GAUGAACGCUGGCGGCGUGCCUAAUACAUGCAAGUCGAGCGAACAGAUCAGGAGCUUGCUCCUUUGACGUUAGCGGCGGACGGGUGAGUAACACGUGGGUAACCUACCUAUAAGACUGGAAUAACUCCGGGAAACCGGGGCUAAUGCCGGAUAACAUUUAGAACCGCAUGGUUCUAAAGUGAAAGAUGGUUUUGCUAUCACUUAUAGAUGGACCCGCGCCGUAUUAGCUAGUUGGUAAGGUAACGGCUUACCAAGGCAACGAUACGUAGCCGACCUGAGAGGGUGAUCGGACAGACUGGAACUGAGACACGGUACAGACUCCUACGGGAGGCAGCAGUAGGGAAUCUUCCGCAAUGGGCGAAAGCCUGACGGAGCAACGCCGCGUGAGUGAUGAAGGUCUUCGGAUCGUAAAACUCUGUUAUUAGGGAAGAACAAAUGUGUAAGUAACUGUGCACGUCUUGACGGUACCUAAUCAGAAAGCCACGGCUAACUACGUG
rnacentral:rRNA from 1 species